rnacentral:lncRNA from 1 species
ACCCACUAUUUACAAACUAAAUUUUAUAAUUUUUUAAUAUAAUUUGUCAAAUAAUCAAAGGGUCACAAAAAUAACUAUUUUCAUGGUUGAUAUAGUACAUUUGUAAGUUCAACGGUGUAAAAUAAUCUAAAUUAAAAAAAAAUUUAAUAGAAAAUUUAAUUUAUCAUCCAGAGCGAGAUCAUCUCUUCCCAUAGGAAAUAUUCUAGCACUAUUUUUUAUAACAUUUUUACUUUCAACCUUUCAUUUUAGAUUAUUUGUUCGCUAGACAAAUAAAAACAAAAUAUUAUGAAUUAAAUUUUUAGAUAGAGCUGAUCGUCACAUCAGAUAUUUUAUUAUCGAAAAUAAUUUAAAAGUACAGAGACAUAUUUUUGAAAGAAUAGUAGUUU